CAUGGCUUCCCAAUGAAUGGCCUGAUUCCUGCCAAGGAUCCCCUCCUUUGGCCCUGACCACCCAUCCUCCCCUGGGCUGGUCACCUGGCAGUUGUCCCCAUACUGUGUGGGACUUUUAUCAUAUUGAGCAACUCAAGAGUUUCUCAACUUGCAGGCUGGUGUGCUCUGGACACAAGCCAUUGAAUUUUGAACCAACAUGCAACUGCGUUUUAUUUUGUCGGCUACAAUUGCAGACUUGGGCAGUUAGGCGGUAUAUGUUGGUAGAGUAUGGAACGGGGUGGGUCUUGGAGCACUGCAUGGAAGGACGGCUGGUUUGGUACGAGUUGGAGAUAAUGGACAAGGUGAAAUGUGAAGCCAGUGCCAAAAGGAGAAGCUGGCUUUCUUGGGAUGUACAAGAAGUUUGGGAGAUGAUAAUUCUGAGAGCCAAAUGCCAAAUCCAGACCCUGGCCCACCUGGGAGGACAGAGGACUAUCAGGAUUUAAGGCCAGGAAGCAGUGGUCUUCCUGCAGUGAGCCCUUCUUUCCUCAGGGAGUCGCUGUGGGAAGGCCCACUCAGCCUGGUGCAGGCCGGCGGCUACCAAGGGAAGAGGCGGUCAUGCAGCACAUUGCAGGAGCUGGCAGGCAGGCAGCCUAGCUCCAGGUGGGACCAGAGAAGACUGCCGGGUCAUCCACCUGCCAUUCUGAACAAAGGCCUCGCCCGCCCUGGACUCCUUCUAAUUGCUACCCACUCCAUGCACAGUCUACUGAUGCUGGUGCCUCACGUCUGGGUUUCCUAUGCCUUCUAAUUUGCUGAGUGCUUACAUGAAGACUAUUUAUUAUCUAAUCCUACAGACGACUCUGUGAGGCAUCUGUUAUCAAGUUUAGGCAUCUUGUGCAGUCCUCACAGCUGCUCAUAGAAGAAUCUGGGCCUCUGACCCAAGCUUAAGUUCCUUCCUCCAUAAGCUGCCAGCCCAGAGUCGCCAGCCCUCAAGCCAUCGAAAAGGCAGUCGUGAUGAGCAAGUGGGGUCACGGUGGAGCUCUGCAGGAGGGCACUGAACACUCCAUCAAGAUUUGUUGAGUGAACAAGAGCAGGUCUUAAGCAUGAUUUUCAGAAAGGCCUUGCUCUCUGUUCCAAUCCUGGCUUAUGUUCAUUGCAGCUGAGCAGGCAACAUGGCUUUUCUGGGUCCUGGCUUCAGACAGUUUUAAAACAUCUCAGUUGCCAUGGAUCAGGCAGUUUGUGGAUGAGAAAGUCAGGCUCUUGAGACACGCAGACACCAAGAGGCCCUUUUUCAAAGGAAGAAGAAUAUUCUCAAUAUUCAGUCUGAUAAGCAUAGAAUGAUAUUUGUUUGUGCCCUGAUGGACAUUACUCACAACCUCCUUUCUGAAGUUUGGUCCUAAGACAAGGCACUUGAAUCCGUACCUUCCAGCUCUUAAUAAUCCCAAAUCUCCCUUCUCCACCGGAGGCCUCUUCCAUAAAGAGGUUAAUCAGAAAACAAGAAGAAACACACAAAGCUCGCAAAGGCAGAACAGCGAGGAAUGUAAUAUGUUUCAGAGAGUCAACGAAAAUAAGAAAGGAGCCCAAUGUCAAACUUAACACCAUCAUUUUAAUUUCCAAGUGCUUUUGGGUUUUUUCAUGUUGGUUUCAUGGAAAUUUAUGUUUGCAGAGAACACUGUAUUUGCUACAGGAUCUUGCUGUGUUCAUUUAGCCCGGUAAUAAAAACCAUCUGCCUGAAAUCCUUUUUGGAACAAGAAAAGGUCACAUGUGUCACCUUAACUGCUGCCACCAGGGUCUCAACCACCUCCAGACACCUGCAUCAGCCACCCCGCAAGGGCUGAGUUAUGAGCCGCGCCCCAGACCUGCUGCC